CCUACGGGAGGCAGCAGUAGGGAAUAUUGCUCAAUGGGGGAAACCCUGAAGCAGCCACGCCGCGUGGAGGAUGAAGGUCCUCGGAUUGUAAACUCCUUUUGUUAGAGAAGAUAAUGACGGUAUCUAACGAAUAAGCACCGGCUAACUCCGUGCCAGCAGACGCGGUAAUACGGAGGGUGCAAGCGUUACUCGGAAUCACUGGGCGUAAAGGGCGCGUAGGCGGGAUAGCAAGUCAGAUGUGAAAUCCUAUGGCUUAACCAUAGAACUGCAUUUGAAACUGUUAUUCUAGAGUAUGGGAGAGGUAGGUGGAAUUCUUGGUGUAGGGGUAAAAUCCGUAGAGAUCAAGAAGAAUACUCAUUGCGAAGGCGACCUGCUAGAACAUAACUGACGCUGAUGCGCGAAAGCGUGGGGAGCAAACAGGAUUAGAUACCCGUGUAGUC
rnacentral:rRNA from 1 species